rnacentral:rRNA from 1 species
AACGAACGCUGGCGGCAUGCCUAACACAUGCAAGUCGAACGAGACCUUCGGGUCUAGUGGCGCACGGGUGCGUAACGCGUGAGAACCUGCUAUUAGGUUCGGAAUAACUCCCCGAAAGGGGUGCUAAUACCGGAUAAUGUCUUCGGACCAAAGAUUUAUCGCCUUUGGAUGGGCCCGCGUUGGGUUAGCUAGUUGGUAGGGUAAAAGCCUACCAAGGCGACGAUCCAUAGCUGGUCUGAGAGGAUGAUCAGCCACACUGGGACUGAGACACGGCCCAGACUCCUACGGGAGGCAGCAGUGGGGAAGAUUGGACGAUGGGCGAAAGCCUGAUCCAGCAAUGCCGCGUGAGUGAUGAAGGCCUUAGGGGUGUAAAGCUCUUUUACCCGGGAUGAUAAUGACAGUACCGGGAGUAUAAGCUCCGGCUAACUCCGUG